UACGAAGGGAGCUAGCGUUGUUCGGAAUCACUGGGCGUAAAGCGCACGUAGGCGGAUGUGUCAGUCAGGGGUGAAAUCCCGGAGCUCAACUUCGGAACUGCCUUUGAUACAGCACGUCUUGAGUCCGGAAGAGGUGGGUGGAAUUCCUAGUGUAGAGGUGAAAUUCGUAGAUAUUCGGAGGAACACCAGUGGCGAAGGCGGCUCACUGGUCCAUUACUGACGCUGAGGUGCGAAAGCGUGGGGAGCAAACAGG
rnacentral:rRNA from 1 species